UUCAGGGUUCGAGGAAAAACAAAUUCGCAUCGCCUCGCCUCCCGUUCUCAGUGGCCAGUCGAGGAACCAAUAAGAGACGUCCAAGGCACCGGAGGACGAAGAGGAGGAAGAGGCAGCGGUGGUGGCGGACAGGAAGAAGUGUCAUUAUUCUCGUGAUAUUCCGCGUUAUCAACCCUUUAAUCCGGCCUGGCGUGACGGUGCUUGUGUACACGCUUGGAGGAGAACAAUGAGAAGAGGUGCACUUGAGAGGCUGGUGGAGGUGAGUGCCACACCUUGACACACCCAGAAGGGAGGCGUGUGUGUGUUAGCAAACAGGACAGCACAAGACUGGGCUGGUGAACAACACAAGACAGCACCCUUAUAUGAAAAGUGUCACUGUGUUGUUUGUGGUCUUCCCUGAGUGGACGUUCAAUGCAAGUGCCACAUCUCAUCACACCAAGUGAGGGAGAUGUGCGAGUGUGUGUGUCUCUGCGUAAAGUGUUGACCUGCUUUGUAUGUAUCUAGGUUUACUUGUAGCUCUCAUUGUACACGUAAGAUGCAUUACUGAUGAGGCCAAUUUGCAUUCAGUGAAAUUCCAAUGUCCAUUAAGCUGAGUGGUAGCGUGCCGGCGUCGCGUUCAGGAGAUCCAGGAGGGACGUCGGUUCAAAUCCUGGCCGGUACACAGCUGGGAUUUGUCAGUCACUGCUGAGUGGCCUAAGACUACCCACAUGCUGCCCUGAAGACCACCUAUCAACCCGGACUCCAGAUAACCUCUCCAAAGAGAGGCUCAAAGAUGAGCUCCAGGGGGCAGUAUAAACACUCGCCUGCGCCAACCAUCAGGACCCACCAGUGAGGAAGCCUAACGGCGUGAUAGGCUGUGAUAUACAUAUAUAAAGAAUCCCAUAUUCAAUAAUCAUGGAAACUGUGUAAUCCUCCCAAAAAUCAUGCCCAAACUCUUGGAAAUUGUGAAGAAAUUAGUAGAAAAGGUGUUGUAUAUCCUUACUUGUAGGCCUGAAGAAACUGAAAAUAGUAAAAUAAUUGCUGGAAAUCCCUAGUUGCAGCCCCCUUGAAAAAUUUACGAAGUCAAUAAUACUUCAAAAUGUCUCCGGAGAAAGAGGCUUCAUAAGAAACAAAACCACUCCUGAAGCGUGAGUGACAGCUGGAUCGUCAUGUGGCUAUGUGCAAGGCAUCACCUCCUCAAGGCUGGCAGAGGUGGAUGUGACACCUGACGGAUCCCACACCUGAAAGAAGCAUCAGUUUUAAGAUCUCGAUGAAGAGAACAUUAUGGCUCCUUUGGUGAACCAUCGUGUCGUGUAGAAUAGGAAUGUGAAGGAAUUAUUGCAAUGUUGAUUUAUAGGUUGAACCUCAUGGUGAGUUAACCCGGUCAGUAUUUGAACCACCUCAGCUGCGUCUGCCUCUACCUCGCCCUCCACACGGGUGAGUCAGAUGCAGACGUCACUUAAGUUGCUCGAAUGCUGGCUGGGUUUACUCUUGAAUUCAAAUGUGAAGAUUUCUAUGUAACAUAUGUCUGAUCUUAAAGUUUCAUGGAGUUUGUUUGCUCAAUAAAAUCACUCUUACGGACA